rnacentral:lncRNA from 1 species
GUGACGUGUCAAGUAAAAGAUAUCACUGGCCAUGCAGAAGAAAGAUAAAUGUCCUUCCAGCUGUCAAACUCGGUGUACUGACCACCAGCCUGGGGAUGCCCUUUGUCCCACUGCACUUGGUCCUUUACAACUGAUGAGUUGCCACAGGAACUUGUGAUUCAAAUGCAUGAAAUGGAGUCUGUAGUUUAGACUUGGCCAAGACCCCAGAUGCUCAGCCACAGAGUUACUGGAGUAUGUAACAUUAGGACAGCAAGCAGCAAACAUGGCACCUGCUGUGCCCAAAAAGACUCCCCGUGGGCUUCUGUACUUCCAAGAUCUCUGUUCUUGCAUGUUAUCUUCUACAUGGACUUGGAGCUGCUGAUGCCAAGACCUAUCCAAGUUAUACUAUGUUCUCUGUGUUUUAUUCCUUUUACAACAUAUACCACUUUCAAACAUGAACCAAACAAAAGGUGAUCUGGCUUUGUGCAUGGAAAGGAGCGUUGACCUGGGAACUAGGAAAUUGGGAUUCAACUGCUGUCUAGAGAUCAGGUUCCCAGGUAAGACAUACAGUAAGAAGGAACUUACAAGACUGGCUUUCUAUGAAAACCUUGAAAUUUACUGAAAAUAAAGCAAUGAAUAUGAGCUGGGGCUUAUUAUUA